UGGGCAGCUCACCAGAGAGGCCAGAGGAGGCGGCAGGAAGGUGGGGUCUCUCCAGCCAGGGGCUUCCUGAAAGAGCUGCCUUCUGAGCAGGCCCCCCAGGCUAGGAAGAUGUGCACCUGCCGAGCUGGGCAGGAGAGGGUGGCCCAGUGGAGGACCCAGCAUGGGCAGAGGUUUGGAGGUGGCAGGUCCUGAGGGAAGCGGAAGGCAGCCAGGUUGUGACAGCCUGUGAGGACCUCUUGGCUCCCGGAGCCUUCUCUCUCCUGGAAUAGAGAUGACACCGUGCUGCCAUUGAACUCAACCCGAAAAAAUGAUCUGUUGCAAAGCUCACAGGAAAUAAUGGAGCAAUGUUACACGAUAAACUGUAAAGUGUGGUGAGCAUGUGAACAAGCGUCCAGGACCCAGCGAAGCCCCAGGCUACUGGGCUAGGCGUCAGAUGAGAAGAGGCAGAGGGCAACCUCCUGUAGGAUCUGAGGCCUUCAUGUGCUCAGCCCAUGGCUGUCGUCACGGUGACGUGUGCAUGCGAUGUAUCUGGGCCAUCCUUGUUCUUGAACGCGGGCAGUGAGUCCCACGGUGAUGUGGCAUGUCACGAGCUGAAGGAGGGGCACCUGCAUUCAGGCUUGCGAACCAGCGAGACAGCCUUUGGACCUUUCGGAGCCUCACUUUCCCACACUAAGAAUUGGAGUGGAAUUCCCAAGGUGCUGGAGGUUGAAAGGCAUUGAGAAUCUAAAACGCUUUGCAGACAGCAAGACCCUCUGUGUUUACGCACUUCCUGUCUGUCUCCUCUAUGAGAAUGGAGUCUGCGGCAGACACUGUAUCUACUCAGUUCACCGCCUCAUUCCAAGCACCUAGCACAGCGCCUGGCCCACAGUGGAUGCGCAAGAAACCCAUGGAAUGAAUGAAUAAAUGAAUGAACGAGUGGACAAACCACUUCCCCAAUACCUAGCUCAGUGCACGGCCUAUGACCAGUGCGGGCCAAUGCUCG
rnacentral:lncRNA from 1 species